GCCGAGCGGCGGCGCACCGGGGCACAGCGGACGUACCGGGGCACAGCGACCGUGCAGGGGCGCACCGGGGCGGCGUCGGGGCUCCCCCGCGGGGGCUCCGCGCUCCCGCCGCCCGGCCCGGCCCGCAGCCCCCGGGGCGGCACCUCCCGGGCAGCGCGGCCGCCGUUCGUGCCGCUCCGGGGGGACCGGGCCUCUGCAGAGAGCUUGGACCGAGGAGGCUCGGGGUGACCUUGUGGCUCUCUACGCUUACCUGUGAGGAGGUUGUAGCCAGGGGAGCGUCUUUGCCUGGGCAGCCGGAGCACAGCUUCCAGUGGUUUUGAUUGCUUCAGCUCACGCCUGCCUUGCCUAGGAUAUAAGUGAGCCAGGUUCUGUUGUCAUCUGCUGUAUUGCAAAACAUGGAAAAUACACAUUAAAUCGAGGAAGCUGAUUUAGAUUUGCACUCUGAAACUGAGCUGGGGGCAUGGAAACAUGUUUUGGCUCAGUUCUCUCUUAGGUUCAGUCCUCUGGUGGUAAAUCCGUGGUUUGAUCUGUCCUGAUGCCUUUGGAAUUUCUUUAAACAGUGUUCCUCUGCAGAUGGAAGACACUACAGAUAUGAUUGCCAUGACUAUCUUCCUGUUCUUUCUACCUGCCUCUUGUAUUUACUGUCCUUGAAGCAGCAUGAGAUCCUGCAUAUUCAUUUUCUUUGCUUCUUCCUGUCACUCCUUGUGCUUUCCUGUCAUCUAGAACUAACUCAUGUCACCCUGUGCUUGGAUGUGUGUGAUGCUCGACAGCCUCUCAUCCUGUACACUUUCUCUUCUACGUCCUUCUAGCCAUCUCAUCAUCUUCUCCAUCCCCUUUUUGCCUCUCUCCAUCCCACCUGAAAGACUUCCUUCUUUGUGUUUUCACCCUCUUAAAUGGCAUUGAUCCAUAUCACAGUUGCCUUUAUCUGACCUGUAAUUUAGUUUCUUGCUUUUCAUCUUACUUUAUAAGACCAAGCCAUUAGUCAGCUGACUAAUUGCUGUAUUGCUCCUGCAGAGCCCUGUAUCAGUAAUAAAGUCAUGGUAAAUGGACUGCAGGAGAAAAAUCUUGAUAAAUGUUUGUUCAUUUAAACACACACACACACACACACAAACACACACCCUUAGUGAUAUGACUUGCUUUCUGUACCACUUCCCUCUUUCUGCUCUUGCUCUAGUUCUUGUUUGUGCUGCAGGUGAAGUUCCCCAGAGCAGGAGGCUGACCCCUGUAUUUGUGACACAUACAGAAAUAACAGUAAGGGAGAAUAACUGGCUGAUAGCUGCCUUGCCCUGCACAUGGCCUCUGCUCUGUGAGGAGGCCUGCUGCUCUGCUAUUGUCUCUGUCCUUUCCUACACCCCUUUUUUCUCCCUGAGCUGUCUCUUUGACUUUUAUCCGAGGAUAAAGCCCUUUGAGGUGGAUGACUCACAGCCCUGCACUUGCUUUGACUCACACUUUGCCACCUAGUAUAUUGGUCAGCUCUUACUAAACUGCAAUUUGGAUUUUUUUAUUGCUAAUGACGACAAUCCUUGCUGCCCACAUCUUUGAUUUCACUCUCAUUUCUGCUGGGUUAGAGCUAUGCUUGUUUUCUCUAUGAUUGGUCAGAGCUGUAUUUCCCCUUUCUCCCUCUUCCUGAGUUUGAAGUUGUUUGGUUUUUUAAACAUCCCCCUUUAAACAUUUCAGAGUCUGGAGGCUCUUUUGUCUUUGGUGCCCAGCUGUUUGGGCUGCAUUUCUGAGGGUGAAGGUGCUGCUCCCCACACAGCCUGUCCUGCCAGCAUGGAAAGGCAGCCUCAUCCCUUGCCUCCCCAUGCAGCAUCCUCACCGUUCAUCAGCUGCUUGACCAGGAGCAGCACAUUCCCCAGCUUCCAGUGGCAUCCCUUGAGUGAUGGCAGAGAGUUGGUGUCAUCACACAGGUGCUCAUCGUGAGGGCUUAGCAAACAUUUCAGCUGCUGCAAAGCAAGCACCAGAAUUCAGGUCUCUUUUCAGGCACUGUGUUGUCCCUGAAGGGCAGGCCUAGCAUGACUGGAGUCACUGAAACCCCAUCCCUGCUACUGACAUCAGCAGGAAUGACUGAUUACAUCUAGGAAAUUGCUCUUGGAAUAUUGUGCUGGCCUUUUUUAUAUAAGUAUUUUUCAGAGAAGUGGAGCAAUAUGAUCUUUAAUGUGUGUUAAUGCCUUAGUAAAUACACUAGUCAGGCACAUCUCCUAUCCCAACAUAGCAACCAGCAGUCCUAGCCCCACAUUCUUGUCUGACCAUGUUACAGCUGGCAGAAGAAAGGGCGAUGUCACUGCUUUUGAUGGGUUUCCAACUUUAAGCAGGAAGCAAUUUGGCCUGAUACUUGAAGAUUAUAAAUCAGUAAUACAAGUCAUAGCCCAAACACUAAGCAGACAUGAGAUCCCUUCUCAAAAGCUGCAUCUAGUGUUAUUAAAACAUCUUGGGCUGAAGCAGCUGGUGCUGCUUUUCACUGGAGCGAGUAGAAACUACUCCAGCACAGGCAAAAUGCAUUCUGACCAGGCAGAUUAGCUGUUACCAAACUACUGCAUGUCUGCUAGGAUUUCCUAGACAGCAGAAAAAGAAGUGGAUGGGACUAUACUUGGCAAGGGAUGGAAGGGUGCAACUUCCAUCUGGGAUGCAGAUUCUAGACUCUGAAGCAACUCUGAUAAUCCGAGCUGUAAUUUUGCAAGGAGCAAACAUAAGCCAGGCUGUUUGUUACAGAGAAGUGUGAUUCCUCCAGGAAGGGCAGUUCUGUUUCCUGAGCUUUUCUUCAAUCCCAGCCAGCAUUGCCAGGCUUUGACUUCAUUUCCAGAGCUGAUGCUUUCCAAGCCUGGAGUUGUCUGAGUUGAACAGCCCCAUUUGAAAUGAUUAAUUUUACUGGCACUUGUAUUAGUCUGUAUAACUGCUUUUAUGAGACACAGGGCACUAUGAAAAAUGCAGAGAACAAACACACCUAAUGUGUGAGCAGGAUGCCUGUCACUGUGUAAUUAUGGAUAACUGUACAGUUACAUAAAUGCUUUUCUUGGGGAAUCACCAGUGACGGCAGCAAGCUUUGCCUGUCAUGUUUUGGCUAGUUAAAGCACUGAUUCAUCAUACUUUGAAUACUCAGUUUCCUGCUUGUUCUAUGGUAAAUGGAUUACUGCCUGCAAUUUCAAUAGUAAUUAAUGAAGAUGAGCGAUAGAUGCAGUGAUAAAAUUGGGUUGUCUGAAGAAGUGGAAUGAUUUACUCCACUUGUCAAAUCUCAUAGUGUUACUAGAAUGUCACUAACUUGUUUGCAGACUUCUUGACAGAUGCAUUUUUAUCAGUUGGGGUAACAGAUCUAAGCAUACAAACCAUGAUUUGACUCUUUUGUUCUUCCAUGUGAAGUAUUCCCCUCCUUCCCUUUAUGUCACUUGCCUUGGCCUCAUUUUUGCAGUUGUUUAUUUCUUCUUGAGCUGUCCCACCAUCUGUUAUACAUCAAGUCGGUCAAACCUUGGGUGUAGAAUGCAGCAAAUUUAUGCUCAGCUCUUAGUAGGUGUCAUUGUACCACUUCUGGUACCUCCUCUAGCUUGUUAGCUCAUUCAGCUUUGGAUGAAACCUUCUUGCUUAGAUUGAGAGCAAUUCACAAAAGGAGCAAUGUCCUGAGAGAGGAGCUGGCUAGGCAGGGAUCUGAGUUUCUUUCACUCAGAUGGAAGCUCCAGAGGAGAUGGCAGCUUUGAUAAUUUUAAAGCACAGUGUGAUCUCCAGAAGAAAAGUACUAUAUUAGUUCAAGAUAAUUAUUAUUAGUGAUAUCACCACUGUUAUAGUGACUGUUGCUGUAAUACAUUAUUGCAAUACUUGCACCAGAAGAAAUAUGCAUUGGCAGGUGGAGGGAGGGAAGAAAAAUUAUAGCUUUGCUCAAGCAAAAGGUGGUUACAUUUGACAUUUGAUCAAAGUACAGUCAUCUUUCUGAUAUUAGCUCAGUUGAUUAGAGUGUGGUACAAUAACACCAAGAUUGUGGGUUCAAUCCCCCCUGAUGGAUCAUUUACUCAAGUGUUGGACUCUUGAGUCUAUUCAACUUCAGAAUAUUCUAUGAAUCUCAAAACAGCAGCAGAUUCUUUGCUUCCUUGUAAAUCUGCAUUGUUUUGAGUUGAUGCCAGUGCAAUCUGCACAUAUAAAACAGCCUGGAUGGUAGGUAGGUAGGUGCAAGAUCUAUCAUUAAGAAACUCAUGGAGAAAUUGAUUUAUGUACAGUUCAGAUGAUCAAAGAGUCUACAUGUUGGUGCACAGUGCUAGUGAAAGUGCCAAAUGUUUACAUGGUUCUUGUGAUGGGAGAAUCUGAGGAAACCAGGCUUUGUGGUUGGCCUUAGCUGGCUGCACUGUUUUUUUCCUGUGUACGUCAUGUUAGAGUAAUUUGUUAAAUAUCCUUCCCAACUUUACAUAACUCUGACCUUACAGGUGAAGAGUUGGUCCUGCCCUAGGAACUGCAAGAAGAGUGAUGUUUGUUGACAAAGGUAGAUAACAUCUUCCUCUUCAGCGAGUCAGGAUGUCAGCAGCAAUGACUUGGACAGGAAUUGACAGGAAAUUUACGCUUAGUCCUUGAACUCUGUGGUUUUGGCAGAGAUAUGACUGAAUGAAACACAAAGUGACAGAGGGAGAAACCUGGAUUCCCUCCCAGAGGGAGAGUUUACUCAAAUUGCUCAGUCAUGGACUAGCUGGUUUCAUUCACAGAAAGAAUUCUGGAUCUUUAAGAGUCUACUGUAGUACCCAUCCCAUUGACAUCAGGGACCCUGCGAAGCAGCUGUCAUGUAACCAUUCUCUGCAAUAUACUUGGGAGGGUGUAAUUAAUUGCUGUAACCCUCCAGUGUGGCUUCACUGAAUUCAAUCAGCCCCACAAAUAUCACUGAAACUUCUCUGGUGUAUUUUGUAAAGAGGAUUUACCUAUAAAACAAACACAGUGUUCAUCGAUGGUGUUCAUUCAAAAUGUCAGGUAAUUUUAUUCUGAAACAAUUUCUGUUAUGCUAGAGUUUAAAUUUUCAUUAGUUCAAAGAAUGGACAUUCUUUUAGGGCCAUGUCUUCCAGAUGUGCAGGAUUGCAAAUCAAUAGCCGGUCCCUGCAAUAAAUUUUCAUUUAGACACUUUAUGACCUAGACAAAGAGUACAUAUAUAAAUAGGGAGAAAACUGAUAGACUGCUAGAAAACAAGAGUGCCUGUCUUUCCCUGGAAAGGUUAAUGGAACUAUUGGCCUGCAGGUAUCACACUUGCUUGUGGAGUUUUCUUCCCACCUCCUCCUCAGCCCUGUUUUCACAGUUGGCAUUUGGAGAAGUAUCAAAUUAAAUCCAAGUUAAUGUAUAUGUCAUGAAAUUCUGCUGAACCGAGUGAAGGGGAAAGAGGCUUUUGAGACCAGUCCUGGGAGAUUCUGGCUGUAGCUUGUGCCUGCAAUAGGGAGCAGUGGAGGGAGUUCAGGUUCUUAUGAGGGCAAAGUCUAAAUUAAGGCAGGCUCUGGCAUGCGCAGUGGCAAGGAAAUGCAGUUUGGUAUAAACGUUGGGGCUCCAAAGUGAGUGCAUGCCACCUACACUGCUCCCAGGAGGCUCCUGUUUCUCAGGAAUGUUCUGGCAACAUGUUGCAACCUAGAUAUUAGUGGCACUUUUCAGUUUGCUUUGUCAUUUUCAGAAGCAGCUUUUUGUCUGUAAAAACCAUACUAAUGUGUGGUAGUGUAUUAAUGAGAAUGCAUAUUUUCAUUGACUCUAAAGAAGUGGGCAGCAUUCUGGCAUGCACCCUUGCAUUUUCCAGGCUUGAUUCCAGUGAACAGUUCCUACCCUAAACACUGAAUUUCCAUCAUUACAAAGAAAGGAUUUUCAGUAAAUACAAAAUUGCUAAGUGCCAAAAUGAUACAGUGUUUUUCCUUUGGAGUAAACAUACAGAUUGACAGAACUCACUACUUGCUGACCAGGCUAAAAGGUAAAUAAGCUAUCAAAGAUAAUUUAGACCAAAAAAAAAAAAAAUCCUGCGCAUGCAACACUGUCCAAUGAACAUUUCUUGCCCUGUGAAAUGUUCAGUGAUAAGGUAGGUAUUUUCCCUCAAUGGACCCUACACAACAGACACGUGUCAGAAGGCUUAUUGGUAGCUCCCUUGUACAUAAGAUCUGCUUUCCCGUUAGCCAGUGCUCUGCUGCUCUCAUUUGACCUCAUCCCUAGAAGGCUGAAAGUUUAUUACUGUAAUGAAUCUUUGUUUCUCCUUCCUUGCACCUGGGGGAUUUAAACGUGCUUGUGCCAAGACACCAUCUCCUUGCUUGACUGUAUAUAAUCUGGGAUACAUGCAAGUGGGUUUCACAUGGAAAUUAGAGAGGAUGGAAGAGAUUUGUCACCAGACAUUUGUGACCCAUGUUACAUCAGCCUUUGGGAAUACAGUAUGUCAGCCAAAAUAAAGGCUGGCCUUGCGAAACAGGUUGUUAGCACUGAUAAACAAAGCUUCAAUAGGAGCUGAGGAUCAGGCUAGUGGCCUGAAAUACUGAAGUCAUUUGGGACCUUGAAUUAAUAUAUUUGUCCACAAACAUGUUCCUGCUGGAGAAGGGCAGGGCAGCCUUUCCCACCUAGCAAACACCAUGCUCCAUCUGAUGCCAGCCAUUGUGGGAGAACUUUGAUCUUGUUUGAUUGCUUGUCAGCUCUCAAACUGCCACUAUUUUUUAUUAAAUUGAUCAGUACAGAAUUCAUCCAUUUUUGUGCUCGCUUCUGAUUCCCAAUAGCACCAGCCUCCAGUUCUGUAAUUUCCUGAUUUAAUGACUCCUGACAUACCUGAGCCAAAUCAGAAAAUGUGUUUCCCAUGGAAGAUCUGCUCUGAAGGUCAGCAGAUCCCUUUGCCUCUACACUGCUUUGUUGAUGUGUGUCACUUGAAGUGAGACACAAGUGAGUAUUUCUGCCUCUCUUUUGAAGCUCUGCCUAAAUGCUUUCCAUCAACAGCUCCCGUUGGAAUCAGAUUUCUCCUUUGUUGUUCUGUUUCCUCCUUUUUCCUCUGGGGCUAAACAGUUCAGCACUGUUUAAUCCUGGGAAAACCAGGAAAUGUGAGUGACUGGGAGAAGGGGUAGGAUUCCUCUCUCCUAUCUUGAGAGGAGUGCCUGUGUGCUGCUCCAGCUCUUCCCGGCUCCAGCUGAGCAAAUGAAGAGAGAGAGGAGUCUCCUGGGCCAUUCACCCCGUUCUGAGAGAGCUGGCUGGGAAAGGUGUGAGGAACCACAUGAAUUGUGCCUGAGGAGCACAACUUCGGGGUUUAGAAAGGGAGAAAAAUACUUAACACCAGCAAGAACAGAUUGCUGGUCAAGGGUACAUUGGGCAAAGGAACAUAGGGGACAAAGGAGAUUAUACAGCAUAGAUUGUCUAGUAUGUUGUUGAUGAAGAAGUUCACAAAUCUUCUAUGAACAUCUCAGUAGUUUAUUUUUAAGAGAUUUAUUUUAUUACAAUAUAUUUAAUAUAGAAGGUAAAUAAAUAUAAAUUUGUUAAAUUGGUGUGUAAUUUUUCUUUAAGCUGGUAUUUGUUUCACUUGGAACCUCUCUCUAACUUUGCAUUCUAUAAACCUUUUUAAAAAAGUUUUUUAUUUUUAAACAACAAACCAGCAAACCCCAGAAGAAGUUCUCAGGUAACAGUUAAAUCUGCAUGACCCCUUUUGCAUCUGAGAAGUUUUCAGCAACCAGAGGCCAAGCUUCCACCUCUACCCUGAGCACUCUUCAUGCAUUAUUAACUCUCAAAACGCAUUACUGCGCACAUUUAGUGUAUGUAAAUACAGAGCUUGAUUUUUAUUUACUCCACAUAGUACAACAGAGUUAAAGAACUUUUAAACUGCAUGUAUAUGAAACAUUGUUUCUCAGAAAACUGGUUUAUAUUUAAAAAUCUGGGCCAAACCUAGAACUUUUUACAGUGUAGAUUAUCUGUCACAAUCAUUAUUUGCUAUGUGACCUCAGAAUUUAUUUACUUUUAUUAUUUACUGUGCAACACAAUAAAAGUAAUCCACAAAU